rnacentral:tRNA from 1 species
GUGCCGGUGGACGAGGAGAAGCAUCCGUCGCCGUUGUAGGUGGCGGUGACCGUGCCGGUCUCCAGUGCGGUUGUGGUCAGGCAUGC